AUGGCGAAUGGUUUAACAGGUGUUGAUUUUGCUCGUUGUUGGAUAAGCUGGAGUAUUAUGCCCUUAAGCCGACGCCCCGGUUUAAUGUGUGAAUACACCGGGAGCUUGAAGGACCCUCAACGACACAUUGAUAUUCAGCUUACAGAUGAUGAAGUUACCGAGGCUGUGAAGAAGAUGCUGAAUGAACCGGAGGUUAUUUGUAGCCAGACCGGAUUAAGUCCUUUCUGUACCUCCAACAAACCGCCAGCUGGUGAGGAUCCGUUCUGGAAGAAAAAACCACAGGAUAAACCGGCAAAACCACAAGACAAACCGGCAAAGCCACUUCGCCCGAAGACCAAGGUUGUUAAAAAACCUGCCAAGAAAAGGACCACUGCGUCUUCCGAGCCAAAUGCUGAUGCCGAUGUGGCUAAUCCAGACUUAGAGGACGACGCUGAAAGCAGUCAAGCCGACGACGUAGAGGUAAUUAUCCUUUCCUCCGGUUCAGAUCCUGUGCCAACCUCGAAAAUCCGCCGAGCAAACCGGAAAGUAAAAUUUUCUCACCCCCUUGCUUACUUGGACCCAAACUUUCUUUUGAAGACGCAGCAACACGAAGCUCGCCGCACAACCCGGCACAGCGGCCAGGGUACUUCCCACUCAUCUUCUGGCAAGUCAUCAGCCACAAAGCUUCCACCCCUCAAAACAGUUCCUGGUGCCAAACCAAGACCCAGCAAGAAGGCUCGGCUAACUAAACCGGCUGACGAUAAUGUGGUUGUUGAACCGGAAAAGACUCCAGAUCCGGAAGAAACCAAUGCUGACGCCAUACUUAAUGAUCCGCCGCCUCAAGACCAUGACUUCUUUGCUGAACAAGUAGAAGUUGACACCACAAGCCAUGCUGACAAGGCGACCAGCCCUGUCCGAACUGAUGAUAAACCGGUCAGUCCAGCUAAGGAUACUAAUAAACUGCCCACUCCAGUGAAGGCUGCUGAUGAUAAAGAGGAUGAUGUUAUGAUUACUAGCUUUGGCCAUACCGCUCCUGGCAAUCCUGUCGCUUUAUCCAAACACAGCGCCAAGGACGAACUUUCUACCAUGGGCAAAGGCAAAUGGAGCACAGAUCUGUCAAGCUAUGCCCACCUCAACUCCCAAGACAUUCAUUCUGGUUUUUUAAACCGUCUGUACACAAGCCGCGACUUUGAAGCCGUCUUAGUAAAUCUGAUGAAGGAGCGAUAUGAGGCUGAGCUGAGCAAAAAGGAAGCUCAAACCGCUGAUCAGCAAGAAAACAUCAAGUCCCAGCAAGCCGAAACCUCCAAAGCCAAGGAUGAGCUGUCCGGCGCUUUAGCCGCUAUGGAAAAACUGAAGGAGAGUUUCAACAAAGAGCGGGCGGAUUGGGACACAGAAAAAUCCGCUUUACAAAAAAGAGUCGAGGAUGCCGAAGCCGCUCUUAAACCGGUAGUAGAUGAGCUGACUGGCGUAAAACGGCAGAUACAUGCCAUGACUGCUGUUGUGUUCGGAACUUGCAUUAGUCAUCUGGGCUCCGACGUACAGAAGAAGCUGAAGGCUGCCUACACUUUGAUAGAGCAGUUGUAUACCGGCGCGCAACGAAUCAUCUGCACCGCUUCUCACAAUAAAUCGCCCCCAAUGUUAAUCAAGGAUACCUUAGAAAGGCUGUCUAUGCUGCCUGCCCGAGUUGAAGAACUAAAGAGAUCUGCUGCAAGGGCUGGUGCUCUGACCGCACUAACCCGGGCAAAGGCAUGGGUGCCCGACCUUGAUCCGGAGGAUGUCAGCAAAGGCUAUCCGAGCUUAAAAGAAGACGGAUCAGAAUUCGGAAAUGAGGAACUCCGAGCCAUAAACCAGGAAGUACGUCCACUGGCUUGCCAAUUAGCUGAAGAAGGUGAUCUUUCACAUUAUCAGGCGAGUUAUGACAUCCACAACAAACGGGUUGCUGCACCAACUCCAGAGGUUCAAAAUCUCAUCCCGCCAAUUCGUAAGCAUACCUAUGCCCCUGACAUUGAACUGUCCACCCUUAUAAGCGACGAAGCUGUGUUCCAAGCCCUAACUGGGAUCGACUGGACAACUAUUGACUUCCAGCCACUGGGUAGAGACGAAGAGGAUGAACCGGCGCAAGAUGAUCCGCAGCCGUCAGGUCAAGAUGGUGAUGAAGCAUGA
rnacentral:rRNA from 1 species